rnacentral:rRNA from 2 species
UUUAUUGGAGAGUUUGAUCCUGGCUCAGGACGAACGCUGGCGGCGUGCCUAAUACAUGCAAGUCGAGCGAAUCUGAGGGAGCUUGCUCCCAAAGAUUAGCGGCGGACGGGUGAGUAACACGUGGGCAACCUGCCUGUAAGACUGGGAUAACUUCGGGAAACCGGAGCUAAUACCGGAUAAUCCUUUUCUACUCAUGUAGAAAAGCUGAAAGAUGGCUUCGGCUAUCACUUACAGAUGGGCCCGCGGCGCAUUAGCUAGUUGGUGAGGUAACGGCUCACCAAGGCGACGAUGCGUAGCCGACCUGAGAGGGUGAUCGGCCACACUGGGACUGAGACACGGCCCAGACUCCUACGGGAGGCAGCAGUAGGGAAUCUUCCGCAAUGGACGAAAGUCUGACGGAGCAACGCCGCGUGAGUGAUGAAGGUUUUCGGAUCGUAAAACUCUGUUGUUAGGGAAGAACAAGUACCGUUCGAAUAGGGCGGUACCUUGACGGUACCUAACCAGAAAGCCACGGCUAACUACGUGCCAGCAGCCGCGGUAAUACGUAGGUGGCAAGCGUUGUCCGGAAUUAUUGGGCGUAAAGCGCGCGCAGGUGGUUUCUUAAGUCUGAUGUGAAAGCCCCCGGCUCAACCGGGGAGGGUCAUUGGAAACUGGGAGACUUGAGUGCAGAAGAGGAAAGUGGAAUUCCAAGUGUAGCGGUGAAAUGCGUAGAGAUUUGGAGGAACACCAGUGGCGAAGGCGACUUUCUGGUCUGUAACUGACACUGAGGCGCGAAAGCGUGGGGAGCGAACAGGAUUAGAUACCCUGGUAGUCCACGCCGUAAACGAUGAGUGCUAAGUGUUAGAGGGUUUCCGCCCUUUAGUGCUGCAGCAAACGCAUUAAGCACUCCGCCUGGGGAGUACGGCCGCAAGGCUGAAACUCAAAGGAAUUGACGGGGGCCCGCACAAGCGGUGGAGCAUGUGGUUUAAUUCGAAGCAACGCGAAGAACCUUACCAGGUCUUGACAUCCUCUGACAAUCCUAGAGAUAGGACGUUCCCCUUCGGGGGACAGAGUGACAGGUGGUGCAUGGUUGUCGUCAGCUCGUGUCGUGAGAUGUUGGGUUAAGUCCCGCAACGAGCGCAACCCUUGAUCUUAGUUGCCAGCAUUCAGUUGGGCACUCUAAGGUGACUGCCGGUGACAAACCGGAGGAAGGUGGGGAUGACGUCAAAUCAUCAUGCCCCUUAUGACCUGGGCUACACACGUGCUACAAUGGAUGGUACAAAGGGCUGCAAGACCGCGAGGUUUAGCCAAUCCCAUAAAACCAUUCUCAGUUCGGAUUGCAGGCUGCAACUCGCCUGCAUGAAGCCGGAAUCGCUAGUAAUCGCGGAUCAGCAUGCCGCGGUGAAUACGUUCCCGGGCCUUGUACACACCGCCCGUCACACCACGAGAGUUUGUAACACCCGAAGUCGGUGGGGUAACCGCAAGGAGCCAGCCGCCUAAGGUGGGACAGAUGAUUGGGGUGAAGUCGUAACAAGGUAGCCGUAUCGGAAGGUGCGGCUGGAUCACCUCCUUUCUAA